GGGGAUGUUCCUGGCUUCGACGCUGGUGAUGAAGCUCAUAGAUGCAUGCCGAGAGCGCAUUUUCUCUCGUAAAUCAAAUUUGCAUUUUUUAGUCGCAAACGACGAAUCAUACGCUCUAGCUGCCUAAGGGCAGCUUGUCCGCCUCUCCGAAUACUUGUGGUUAGAGAGUCCGACUGAAGCGCACGCACACAAGUCCGUAU
rnacentral:tmRNA from 1 species